GAUGAACGCUGGCGGCGUGCCUAAUACAUGCAAGUCGAGCGAACAGAUGAGGAGCUUGCUCCUCUGACGUUAGCGGCGGACGGGUGAGUAACACGUGGAUAACCUACCUAUAAGACUGGGAUAACUUCGGGAAACCGGAGCUAAUACCGGAUAAUAUAUUGAACCGCAUGGUUCAAUAGUGAAAGACGGUUUUGCUGUCACUUAUAGAUGGAUCCGCGCCGCAUUAGCUAGUUGGUAAGGUAACGGCUUACCAAGGCAACGAUGCGUAGCCGACCUGAGAGGGUGAUCGGCCACACUGGAACUGAGACACGGUCGAGACUCCUACGGGAGGCAGCAGUAGGGAAUCUUCCGCAAUGGGCGAAAGCUUGACGGAGCAACGCCGCGUGAGUGAUGAAGGUCUUCGGAUCGUAAAACUCUGUUAUUAGGGAAGAACAAAUGUGUAAGUAACUAUGCACGUCUUGACGGUACCUAAUCAGAAAGCCACGGCUAACUACGUG
rnacentral:rRNA from 1 species